UCAGCUCUAUGUUUCCAAUGACUGAUCAGGACUUCCCUGUUCACCUGCUCACAAUGAGGCUCCCUGCUCAGCUCCUGGGCAUGCUGAUGCUCUGGCUCCCUGGAUCCAGUGGGGUUAUUGUGAUGAGCCAGACUCCACUCUCCCUGACCGUCACCCUUGGAGAGCCGGCCUCCAUCUCCUGCAGGUCUAGUCAGAGCCUCCUGCAUAGUAAUGGAAACACCUAUUUGCACUGGUUUCUGCAGAAGCCAGGCCAGUCUCCACAGCUCCUGAUCUAUAAGGUUUCCAACCGGGCCUCUGGAGUCCCAGACAGGUUCAGUGGCAGUGGCUCCGGGACAGAUUUCACACUGAAAAUCAGCAGGGUGGAGGCUGAGGAUAUUGGGGUUUAUUAUUGCAUGCAAAAUACACAACUUCCUCCCACAGUGGUACAACCCCGAACAGAAACCUCCCUGCUGUGGUGGCCCAGCUGCCCAUAUGUGCUGCUUGUCUGGGCAGCAGCUCAGCAGGUUCUCUGA